GAGGAAUACAUCGGAAUCUACUCUGUCGUGGGGGAUAACGUAGGGAAACUUACGCUAAUACCGCAUACGACCUACGGGUGAAAGCAGGGGACCUUCGGGCCUUGCGCGAUUGAAUGAGCCGAUGUCGGAUUAGCUAGUUGGCGGGGUAAAGGCCCACCAAGGCGACGAUCCGUAGCUGGUCUGAGAGGAUGAUCAGCCACACUGGAACUGAGACACGGUCCAGACUCCUACGGGAGGCAGCAGUGGGGAAUAUUGGACAAUGGGCGCAAGCCUGAUCCAGCCAUACCGCGUGGGUGAAGAAGGCCUUCGGGUUGUAAAGCCCUUUUGUUGGGAAAGAAAUCCAGCUGGCUAAUACCCGGUUGGGAUGACGGCACCCAAAGAAUAAGCACCGGCUAACUUCGUGCCAGCAGCCGCGGUAAUACGAAGGGUGCAAGCGUUACUCGGAAUUACUGGGCGUAAAGCGUGCGUAGGUGGUCGUUUAAGUCCGUUGUGAAAGCCCUGGGCUCAACCUGGGAACUGCAGUGGAUACUGGGCGACUAGAAUGUGGUAGAGGGUAGCGGAAUUCCUGGUGUAGCAGUGAAAUGCGUAGAGAUCAGGAGGAACAUCCAUGGCGAAGGCAGCUACCUGGACCAACAUUGACACUGAGGCACGAAAGCGUGGGGAGCAAACAGGACUAGAUACCCUGGUAGUCCACGCCCUAAACGAUGCGAACUGGAUGUUGGGUGCAAUUUGGCACGCAG
rnacentral:rRNA from 1 species